UCAGAGGAGGGUUCAGCUUGUUAUUGAGGACGAGAUCCAGUUGCAGACAAACAGCUGAGCGCUACCAGACAUUUUAAAGACAGCCUGAGAAAACCCACACACAGAAACUACAAACUACAAACUCCAGACCUGAGCAUGGUGUGACUGAUCAUCAACGCCUGCAGGUAUGUGGUGCAGAAGAUCCAGGCUGCAGUAAGAGGCGAGGCGCAGCCGGAGAAAACCAGCACCACAGCAUGUAGCCAGGCCAAAGCACCACAGGAUGACUGGAUGAGCUCCGAGAAACCAGCCUUGGUUCCCCAGCCAGCAGACGAGGUCGUGAAGCAGGAGUGUGGAUCCUGAAAGUAAACCGAGAGCUGGAGGCUCGAGUGAAGGUCCAUGAUGAGGAGACAAAAA